rnacentral:piRNA from 1 species
UUAAAGGUGCUGAACGAUGUUGUUGUUCUAU